UCUUCAGAAAGAUAGCAUUAUACACAGUUUAUAGUACAAAGGGGGGAAAAAAAAAGGUCAGAUGAAUGAGCAUGAAGGAGAUUUCUCCUGUGUCCUUUGGAGGAGGAGCAGAAAGAUUGGGAAUGGUAUCUAUGCACAGUAGGUGUCUGCCUUGACUACCUGACAAUACAUGGUCAUUGCAAAGGUGAGUCCGAGAAUCUAAGAGGAAAAAACAAACAGACAGACAAAUGUUUUUCAGCAAGUUAAAAAAAAUAAAAUCACCCCUAUUUAUUGAAUCUAAAAAAAAAAAAAAAAAAAGAGAGGGAAAAGCAUGCUUACUUUAAAAAAACAAACAACCGUGUUUUGUUCACACACAGGAAGACACAUCACAUGCUGCUUUUCCUGCUGGUUCAUGUCCUCGUUCUGUUCCUAGUUUGCGUCUGCCUUUUGUCCUUAUCUGUAUUGCUGUUUUACAGAGUGAACAAUGAGAGCACGGGAGAGUUGAUUUCUCCACGAAAAGCUGCCACCAGAUACUGGGAAGAGUGAGCACGUGCCUUUUUGGAAGUAUCCCCUGACCGCUGCCUUCUGCUUCCCAGCAAAGGAACACCUUCAGGGACAGCUGCGUAAUAAAAUUUUGUGACUUAUUUUAUAAUUGCAAGCAUGCAUGACUGAAGAUUUGCCUGCCACAUGUGCUUUGUGUCCUUCAAGUGGUGUCACUGUAUGGUUCUAACUAUAAGAUCGUUAACAUGAAAAACAAAAGCUAUCACAUGCUUAGGGCCAGAACAACAUGGUAACAGCAACAACAGGGGGAGUCCCAUUCAUUUCAGGUGACAGUGCAUCAAAACUUUUGUCAAUUAGAUUCAAUCAUGUAGCACAGCUAGAAAUCUUUUGUGUUCUGAGGUGUUUUCUUUGUAUUUUGCAGCAUUUACUAGGAAUAUUAAUCAGCAUUUUUUAAUUCUGAAGUGUUUUCUCCCAUGCGAACUAGUUAAUGUGUUAAAUACCCUAAAUAUAAUCAAGAUCUAUGAGACAGCCUGACAGAGGCUGCUGGGGUUUAAUGUAUCUUUUAAAGACUCCCUAAAUACUAAAUAGUAGAUGCUCAAAAGCUGUUUUUAAAAAUACGGUAAUAUAUUAAAAACAGUCUUACAUUGUC